UCCUUUGUUAGUAACAACAAAGG
rnacentral:snRNA from 1 species